AAUGAACGUUGGCGGCAUGCCUAACACAUGCAAGUCGAACGAAGGCUUCGGCCUUAGUGGCGCACGGGUGCGUAACGCGUGGGAAUCUGCCCUUGGGUUCGGAAUAACAGUUAGAAAUGACUGCUAAUACCGGAUGAUGUCGUAAGACCAAAGAUUUAUCGCCCAAGGAUGAGCCCGCGUAGGAUUAGCUAGUUGGUGGGGUAAAGGCCUACCAAGGCGACGAUCCUUAGCUGGUCUGAGAGGAUGAUCAGCCACACUGGGACUGAGACACGGCCCAGACUCCUACGGGAGGCAGCAGUGGGGAAUAUUGGACAAUGGGCGAAAGCCUGAUCCAGCAAUGCCGCGUGAGUGAUGAAGGCCUUAGGGUUGUAAAGCUCUUUUACCCGGGAUGAUAAUGACAGUACCGGGAGAAUAAGCUCCGGCUAACUUCGUG
rnacentral:rRNA from 1 species